GAUGAGAACGCAGCGAAAUGCGAUAAGUAAUGUGAAUUGCAGAAUUCAGUGAAUCAUCGAAUCUUUGAACGCACCUUGCGCUCCUUGGUAUUCCGAGGAGCAUGCCUGUUUGAGUGUCAUUAAAUUCUCAACCUCACCAGUUUUGUAACGAGACAGGUGAAGGCUUGGAUGUGGGGGUUUUGCAGGCUGCCUCAGUGCUGGUCUGCUCUCCUGAAAUGCAUUAGCGAGCUCAUAUUGAGCUUCCGUCUAUUGGUGUGAUAAUUAUCUACGCCGUGGAUUGGACUCAUGCUUGCUUCUAACCGUCCGCAAGGACAAUUUACUUGACCAAUUUGACCUCAAAUCAGGUAGGACUACCCGCUGAACUUAAGCAUAUCAAUAAGCGGAGGA
rnacentral:misc_RNA from 1 species